UAUUGCUGCUUUGUUCUUUAAGACAGAGCCUUGUUCUAUAGCCCUGGCUGUCUUGGACUCUAGCUUCUCCCAAAUCAGAGACAGUCGAGAGCACACCUGGCUUGUUCUUCACUAUUUUCAAUGAAAAGUAAAAUCCUCCAUUUCCCUCACAUACCCUUCCAUCACCUGAGGCCAGCAGCCCGCCCGGUCCUCAUUACUUCCCAGCAUCCAUCCCUGCUCUGGAAUUACCCUGGGCAGGGCCUCUGGGACAAACCUCCUGGGCACUGUAAUUUCCCUGGCUGCAGUAUGUCAUUAGACUUGGUGCUGAUGACGCGACGCCCCGUGUGAAGCAAAGAUUACAGCCCCUGCUCGGACGAGACAGGACAGUCUAGCCCUGGAACAGCCCUCCCUGCAGAGCUUCUCCCUUCCCGUAGCCACUGGCAUCUCCAGCCUCCUGUUAAGACCCACAGCAAGGCUUGGAAUGCCACAGACUUCCAUUCUCUCCCUAGGGGGUCACUCAUGAGCCUCCACAUCCUCAUCUGUAAAAUGGGCUAAAGUGACAGCAUUCCCUUCAGGACCACACAACACAACUUGUGAGAAUCUCUCCCACACACAGUGGGCUUGCUUUGUUGUACUUUUUAUAACUACUGUACGUGUGUCCGUGAUGCGAAUAUACGGGUGUUGGAGAGAAGAGGAUAGCUCUCUAAAGACGAGUCUCUCAAUCUAUCUCGGCAUGGGUUCUAGGAUCAAGUUCAGAGCAUGAGGUUUGGGUGGUGUCCUAGGUAGGGGUACUAUUGCUACAGUGAAACACCAGGACCAAGGCAACUUGGGUCUUACACUUCCAUAUCACUGUUUAUCAUUGAAGGGAGUCGGGCCAGAACUCAAAUAGCGCAGGAACCUGAAGACAGGAGCUGAUGCGGAGGCCAUGGAGGGCUGUUCUCUGCUGGCUUUACUAGCUUGUCCUCAUGGCUUGCUCAGCCUGCGUUUUGUUUUGUUUUGUUUUGUUGUUUUGCUUUGUUUCGAGACAGGGUUUCUCUGUGUAGCCUUGGCUGUCCUGGAACUCACUCUGUAGACCAGGCUGGCCUCGAACUCAGAAAUCCACCUGCCUCUGCCUCCCAAGUGCUGGGAUUAAAGGUGUGUGCCGCCACUGCCCAGCUCGGCUUGCUUUUUUAUAGAACCCAGGGUCACCAGCCCUCAGUGGCACCCUCCCCCAUCAUUCACUAAUUAAGAAAAUGCCCUAUAGGUCUGCCUACAGCUGAAUUUUAUGGAGGCAUUAUCUUAAUCGAGGUUCUGUCCUCUCAAAUGACUAAAGCUUAUAUCAAGUUAGCAUAAAACUAUUCAGUGCCACUGAUGGACACACAAACACAUCAAUGUAAAGCCACAACCUUCCCUUUCUUGUUCAUACCCCAAGAUCACACGUUAAUAUAAACAUCACAGCAUAAAACAUUUUACAGACUUACUUUAAAAAGUCCCACAGUCUUAGGAAUCCAAGCACUUUCACCGGCUGGGCCAUCUUGCCAGCCCCUAGGCUGUUCUAAUUGUGACUACUCUGGUGUUUGUGGUUGUUAUUACCACCCUAAGAGGGACAGGUUCUCAUUCACUUUUUGGGAAGAAAAUAACAAGAACCACCUCUUUGUUUUCAUGAGGUAUCUGAAAGUAAGAAGAUGCCCACUGUUUGGGAGGGAAAUUUGGUAGAAAUAUGAAUGCAUCCCCCCACACUCCCGGAAACUCAGUCACUGAGCAUAGAUUCAUCCAAGCAGCCCCUGCAGUGUCUACUAUGUUGCUGGGUAUCAUUCUAGAUGCCAGGGAGCUAGGCUGUACAGUCACAGAGCUGACCCUGUGCCACAGGAGUACAACAGCAACCAAAACAACAAAUAGAGACAAUCAUACGCACAGUACAACGACACUGUGAAGAAAACUCUGGCAGGAUAAGAUAGGAGAGGUGCUGGGACACCUGGUGACAAUUUCAAUCAUUGUGCUCAACAGGGCCAGAGCUCUCUCUGCUCGUACUUGAAACCAAAGUGCCCACAGAAGAAGAGAAACUGGCAGGUCUGAAGCCACCAUUUACUGUAACCCUCAGAAAGGAGGAAGCGUCCUCCAUGUGUCUGGUAUCCCUUCCGCCAAAGCUUCUCUGAAAAUGUCAGCCCCAGGUCUAUCUUCAUCUUCUGGGGUUCAUUGAAAGGAUGUCAAACCUGGGGCCUGGGCCCAGCUUCUCAAAUACCCAGAGCGGCUGGUUAUGGCCUCGCUGGAAGGAGGCUCCUGAAUGAGUCUGUGUGGGUCUAACAGUCACCUCAGAGAUUCCAAAGUGGACCCAGCCUGUCCCCACAGAGGCUGUGUGCACCCCCCAACCCCUCCCCACCCCUAAAUCAUCCCUGAAUUAAUCAAUGAGCGUGCAUUGGUUCGAACUCUCCAGGAGCCUCCUCCAGCGGCCACUUUGUGUUCAGUAGAUUAAUUGCAGCUGGGGGAGGGGAGGGAAUCCAUUUUUAGAAAAUCAUUACUUUCAGAAAGAGAGGGGGGCUACUUCUGGCUGAGGGAAAAGUGCUGAGUUGGCAGCUUGAGGCCUGCAGCUCCAGCGCCAGGAAACCGGGACUGUACCGUGCAGGCUGUUCCCUGAAAAGCCUGUGUCCACACUGCCCGAAGGCAGGCCACCCUGGCUUUGGAGCCAUGGCUUCUGGUGGCCUUGCCUCCUGACUGGCCUGUGUUCAACAGUUUGAUGGCAUCCUAAACAGAAGGGCUCUCACCCCGGUGUCGACCAUCCCCCACAAUCCAUUCGCUAUCUUCUCUCCAGCCCACUUUGCUGUGCAUACCACCCCGAGGACACUGUCAGCCCUGUCUAGAGAAUGUCUAGACAUGUCUAGAGAAUGAUGAAGGUCGGAGACUCCUAAUCUCCACUCCCUCAAACUGAUCAUUUCAUUGAUUUAACCGAAUGAAAUUGUUGCAUCUGUAGGGUCAAAAUUAGCGAUCCCACAUGGCUCAGCUAGCUCUCUGGGUGUAUUUUCUCAAUAAUCCCCAUUCUGGCCCCACAGGGCAGGUCGAAUACCUAUUUGUGUUUCAUAAAUGGAGGGCCAAAAGUGUUGGGUGACUCACCAAAGUGAGCACUCCAACCCAACUGUGCCCAAUUCCCUAGCCAGUAACUGUGAGCCAUUUAUUGUUUGCCAUAUUCUAGGCACCCUGCUUGCCAUUGACACAUCUGGAAUAGCAGUGGACUUGAGUCCGCUUUCUUUGAACUGUUGGGAAUACAAACCAACAAAGAGGUCCCUGUCACUCUGGGCUGUGUCUCUGGGUGCAUGUCUGCCUCAGCUACAAGCUGUGUAGGGUUGGGUCUUCUGGGGCUAAUCAUUUACCCUCUGAAGAAUAGACUGUUUCAGGAAGAUCCGCCAGCAUCCUCUGCAGGAUAGCAUGAUCUUGGGAGAGUCCUUGGUGUAAACAAACAUUGCAAAUCCUGGGAACUGGGUUUAGAGGUCAAAAGGCUUCUGACCUUUCAAACUAGAAUUUACUUAAGAAAACACAGGCACCUGCCUUGCUCACCUUAACCCUGCCCUACCCAGUGAUUACACAGCUAAGUGAUCAAAUCAGACCUAAAACUUCCUGUGGAGGAACCUCAAGAAAUUGCCUGACCAGCAACAGGGGGUGACGGCUCGUGUACCCACAGGGAGGUCCAUUAUCGAGACUGUUUGGGCAGUCCUCAAGAGAAUUAUCAGGACACUAAAAAGAGGCAGACCGAACCUCCAAGGGAGGCUGGAAGAGAUGUCUACAGAACAGCCCUGGGCACAGGCAGUGGAUGGUGUCUUCUGCAGCAGAGUUAUCAACUUCCACCUAACGCCAGAUGAUCUGAAGAUGCCAGACUUCAGAGUGGUCUGACAGCCACCCCACCAGAACUCACACUCCAUACCCAAAUCUGGCCUCCUUCUAGAACUCUGUGCCUUCCAAAUCCAGAGGCUCUGCUCCCACAGCAGGGGCAAGGAAGUGAGUUAUGGGACACCGGCCACACAGGAUUACAGCUCAGGUCAUAGUUGCCAGUUGACUUCCUUAGCCUCCAAAGGCCUCCAUUCUUGCGCGCGGGGUGGGGGGUGGGGAUCCUAAGAAAGAUUAACAUCACUCCUGGCACCCAGUGAUGUGCCUUUAGUAUCAAAGGUUGGAGAGAGCACUCGUUGCUCUUACAGAGGGUUCUGGGUUGGACUGUCAGCUCCCACCCACAUGGCAGCUAUCUGUAACUCAAGUUCCAGGGGAUCUGACAUCCCCAGGCAUCAGGUACACAUGUAGUAUUAUUGAUAUGUGUAUAAUGAGCAUCAAUCUAAAACAUGAAUGGGAAGUCCCAGCUCAGCUCGUGCAGGCAGAGAACUUAAGAGGGACCUCACAGAGCCCCAGGGUGAACAGAACCACGGGACUGGUGAAGCCGUCAGUCAUGAACAUCCCAGCGACGGAAGAAUGAAGCCUGAACUCCCUCCGUCAUCACUGGAGGGGUGAGGAGGUGGAAGCCUCCAUUUCCCGGGUGCCACAGUCCCCUCCCCUGAGGAGGAUGAAUCAGGACGGUGUGGAAGGAGCAAGGGCCAAUGGAUCCUGGUUCUUGAGGAUGUCCCUGCUCUUCUGUCCCUGACCCAAUCCUCCCCCCACCCCAGUCUCCCAGGGAUACUUUUCCUCCUGAAGUCAGCCACAGGGCUCCCUCUAGUCACUUCCCAAUAUACAAUGAGAAGACCUGGGUCACACCUAACAGAAGGGUAUCUAGGGGAGGGGGUCCUCCAGACCUGGGAACUAAGCCAAAGUCCGGGCCGAUUCACCUUUGUCUCCACUGAUAGACCUCCCAGCCUCCCUCCAAGCCAAGACAAAGCUCUGAACAACAAGGGAUGCAGUAUACAUUUUAAAAAUUGUUUAAUGGAACAUAAACUCCUUUAGAAAAACAUUCAGCUAGGUGAUAACACCCAUAGAAAAAAACACCAAUCUUGUGUUUAUCUUUUUUUUUUUAAUUUGGCAUGUUAUUUGCAUUUAUAUUAAAGCAAAGUGCAUCUUUUCUUUAUUCUUCUCGUUUAUACACAUUGCACAAUACAUAAAUAAUGAUGCUUAUAAAACGUCUUUAUAUUUACAAGUAAUAAUAUAUUUAUAUAUAACAUAAAAUACAUUUUUCUUUAAUAAAUCUCAGCUUUUUUUUUCUUUUAAGGAGUCCUUUCCUCUCUCAAAGCACUACAAUGCUAAAUUUCCAAUGAGAAUGCUUCUCUUGUUCAUUUAAACCUUUGUAGUUAGAAAAAUAGCUUAUGUUAAAUUCUAAACAUGCUCAUUGAGCUAAGAACAGUGUCAAAGUAUCAUACGAGCGAGCGUAUGAGCUGAGAGAAGGGCUGGGAGCCAGCCAAGGGAUGGUACCUUUGUUGUGACGGGGCUACACCCUUCUCAGCAGGAAGGGGGGGCACUGCGCAGGUCCCUCCCUGAUGCCCCUCGCUGGUCUACAGAGCUCAGCACACAGGAUGGGGGAUGGGGUGCUGAGCUGACUUUCCACAUCUGGGAGAAACCUGAUGAAAAAACCACCACGGCUGGGACCCGGUGGAAGGGCCUGAGAGGGUACUGGGGUAGCAAUACUGUGACUGGGGCUGUCCCGGCAGCCCUUGGGAAGCCCAUCUCAAGAGAGAGAUCCAGGAGCAGAUGGCCAAAAAAGACAGACUCGACAAUGGCAGCGGGUGACAGGCGGCAGUAAGACAGGGAUGAAAACAAUUGGUUCUGGUUCAGCCUUCUAGCAGGCUGGCUUCUCAGAAGCCUGUGGAUAGGCCCGUGUCCUGUGGGGGCGGGGGCGGGGCGGGGCGGGGCAGCUUCGGCAGGCUGGAGCAGAGCUUGGCACCUGCUGCCAGUCUGCCCAGGUACUGCCUCUGCCCCACCGAGCGUGUCCAAAAGGCUAGAGAGACACACAGCUUGGCACUAUGAGCCUCUCAGCCGGGGGCAUCCAUAAAGAACACACACACAAAAAAGCACUUCCCCCAUCUGUCGCUCGGGUACACCCCUACGCACGGACAACCGAAACGCUGAUCCAAAGGGAAGGUGGUGCCCACUUUCACACACCAUGCUUGGCAGUGCUGACUCUCGUUUCCUGUCUUCGUAUAUGGGGGGAGGGGGUGUCCUGCCAACCACACCCACCACCUCAAAACAAAAACAAAACACACACACACAACCCAACAAAAAUCCGCACCAUAAGCUAAUUUCUCAAAGAACAAGACAAGCGGGACACACGGAUGACGAGAAAGGAGGAGGAAAAAAAAAAAAAAA